AACCCAUGAUGAUACAUUCGACAGCUGAAAAAGACCAAGCUGCUAACGACCUAUUCGAUUGACUCAACCCCGUGCCGCGUGUUCCCUUCCGCUGUAAUCUUAAUGGGAUGUUGUACCUCAAAACCAUGGGUUCCAUUGUAAGGCCAGCGGGACACUGAGCCAAUAUUUUUCACACUGCACUGUUUACUUGGAAGUCUCGGUUCGCUAGGAAAUGGCUUGUUCAUUGAUGGACAAUUCAUGUCCUAGCAAAACAUAGCUAACGAGCAGUGUAAUGUGAAAAAUAUAACGAAACAGAGAAACUAUAGACAGUAAAGCAGUUAAGAUUGUUUGUCUUUACUAGUUACUUUGUUUCACAUUUUGCAUUUAAAGGGAUUUUAUUUUGGAACGGGGUUACGGAUAGGUUGUUUGUUUCGGUCAUGUGAUGUCUCUUUAGUAAUCUGAUUGUCU
rnacentral:snoRNA from 1 species